rnacentral:rRNA from 1 species
UACGGAGGGUCCAAGCGUUAUCCGGAUUUAUUGGGUUUAAAGGGUGCGUAGGCGGUCUGUUAAGUUAGAGGUGAAAUCUCACGGCUCAACCGUGAAACUGCCUCUGAUACUGGCGGGCUAGAGAGAGGUUGCUGUUGGCGGAAUGUGUGGUGUAGCGGUGAAAUGCUUAGAGAUCACACAGAACACCGAUUGCGAAGGCAGCUAACAAAGCCUUUUCUGACGCUGAGGCACGAAAGCGUGGGGAGCAAACAGGAUUAGAUACCCU